rnacentral:lncRNA from 1 species
AAAAUAUUUUAAAUGAGACCUGAAUUUUUUCUAUCUUUAAAUGUGCAUUGAACAAUGUUGAAGGUUAGAAUAAUCAUAUAAACUAGAAUUAAGAAAACAUCUUGGUCCCAAAAAAACCAUCAUCAACCAGGAUAUAAAAUUCCAAAUAUUAAUUUAUCAUUGUUUAUUAUACUAAUAUCAGUUGAAAUCUCAAGCCACUGUUUUUUAUGUUAACAAAAUGUAGGUCAUGUCCCAACAGAAAAUCAAUAAAUAUGACAUUACAAUGUACUCUUAGCACAAACACAUAAGGUCACUGUGAAAUAUACAACUAGGGCAAGAAACUAUCAGUUAUAUCAAACCAGUUUGACCAGAUGUUUAGUUUAAAACCAG